rnacentral:rRNA from 1 species
AUGCCGGGCACUUUAAGGAAACUGCCAGUGAUAAACUGGAGGAAGGUGGGGAUGAUGUCAAGUCAGCACGGCCCUUAUGGGGUGGGCUACACACGUGCUACAAUGGCGACUACAAUAGGUUGCAACGUCGCAAGGCUGAGCUAAUCCGUAAAAGUCGUCUCAGUUCGGAUUGUCCUCUGUAACUCGAGGGCAUGAAGUCGGAAUCGCUAGUAAUCGUGGAUCAGCAUGCCACGGUGAAUACGUUCUCGGGUCUUGUACACACUGCCCGUCACGCCAUGGGAAUUGGCUUAA